rnacentral:rRNA from 1 species
UACGAAGGGGGCUAGCGUUGCUCGGAAUCACUGGGCGUAAAGGGGGCGUAGGCGGGUCUUUAAGUCAGGGGUGAAAUCCUGGAGCUCAACUCCAGAACUGCCUUUGAUACUGAGGAUCUUGAGUUCGGGAGAGGUGAGUGGAACUGCGAGUGUAGAGGUGAAAUUCGUAGAUAUUCGCAAGAACACCAGUGGCGAAGGCGGCUCACUGGCCCGAUACUGACGCUGAUGCGCGAAAGCGUGGGGAGCAAACAGG